CACAGCCCAAGCCACAAGGCUAACAGUAGCAGCAGCUGGAACCUUCUGUGGAGCCCUUCCUUGCUCUGGGCUCUGGUGGUCCUUCAUGUCACCUGGCCUGGGGAGUUGGAGCAGGAUUCCCAGCUAAUGGAAUAUGUUGCCUCCAGACUCAUCAGUCAGGUGCUGUGUUUUCUUCUUCAUGAUGGGAAGUGAAAGAUGAAAUAAUUUGCCUUUACUAUGGAGACAUGCUCCAGUAUUUAGCAGACCACUGGAUUCUCAGAAAUUUUACUGAUGCAGUGGGCCCCUGGGUCUAUCAGUUUUCUCUCUCGCCCUCUGGCCUCCAGCACGCUUCUGCCCCUUGUUCCUCGGUCUUCUCAGCAGAAUGUGGGCGGAGUACUGGAUCAACGCGACGCUUGGCAGCAGGCCGAAUGGUGCUCGUCUCCUUGGACCACCAAGGCAGCACCCUGGUGAGAGUGGUGGAUGCAUACUGUCAUCUGUUCCUUUCCCGAUUUCCUCUGCAUUAGCUUGAGUCUGAGGCAGUCUGGCCUUGUGGACUGAAAGAUGGCCGCCAACAGCUCCAGGCCCAUGUCCUGCUGGUUCAGCAACAGAGGGAGCCACCCCUCACCCCUCAUCCCAUCCAGAAGGAAUCUUCCCAACCCAGGAAUUGAACCGAGGUCUCCUGCAUCGCAGGCAGAUUUUUUACCGACUGAGCUACAAGGGAAGUCCUUUCAUCAAACCUACUGUGAGACUGACUGAAGGUGUGCCUCCAUUUAAUGUACCAUUAAGGAAGAAAAGCUCACAAACCCUGACAUGCCAUCAGUUGCAAGAUGAACCCCAAAUUCAGUGAUUUUCACAUGUGAAAACAUGUGCUAUAUUGAUGAAAUACAGUCAUUCCCAACAUUUAAAAAUGGGGCUAGUUCACAUUAAAAUCCUGUAUUCUGUUUUCUUCUGAACUGCAAA